CGGUGUUUAACUGGCGUGAUGUGGGACGUCCUACCGGUGGGCUUAGCCUCGCGAGGGGCGGCCCAACUAAUAUCCCGUCGCGGUGCUCUUUACUGAGUGUCGAGUCGGGCCGGGUACGUUUACUUUGAACAAAUUAGAGUGCUUAAAGCAGGCUAUCCUCGCCUGAAUACUGCGUGCAUGGAAUAAUGGAAUAGGACCUCGGUUCUAUUUUGUUGGUUUUCGGAACCCCGAGGUAAUGAUUAAUAGGGACAGAUGGGGGCAUUCGUAUUGCGACGUUAGAGGUGAAAUUCUUGGAUCGUCGCAAGACGGACAGAAGCGAAAGCAUUUGCCAAAAAUGUUUUCAUUAAUCAAGAACGAAAGUUAGAGGUUCGAAGGCGAUCAGAUACCGCCCUAGUUCUAACCAUAAACGAUGCCAGCUAGCGAUCCGCCGAAGUUCCUCCGAUGACUCGGCGGGCAGCUUCCGGGAAACCAAAGCUUUUGGGUUCCGGGGGAAGUAUGGUUGCAAAGCUGAAACUUAAAGGAAUUGACGGAAGGGCACCACCAGGAGUGGAGCCUGCGGCUUAAUUUGACUCAACACGGGAAACCUCACCAGGCCCAGACACCGGAAGGAUUGACAGAUUGAUAGCUCUUUCUUGAUUCGGUGGGUGGUGGUGCAUGGCCGUUCUUAGUUGGUGGAGCGAUUUGUCUGGUUAAUUCCGAUAACGAACGAGACUCUAGCCUGCUAAAUAGGCGUACCUUAUGGUAUCGCGAAGGCCCCCGGCUUCGGCCGGUGGGUUUUUACUACCAACGUACAAACAAAUCUUCUUAGAGGGACAGGCGG
rnacentral:rRNA from 1 species